rnacentral:rRNA from 1 species
CCUACGGGUGGCAGCAGUGAGGAAUAUUGGUCAAUGGACGAAAGUCUGAACCAGCCAAGUAGCGUGAAGGAUGACUGCCCUAUGGAUUGUAAACUUCUUUUAUAUGGGAAUAAAAUGUUCCACGUGUGGGAUUUUGUAUGUACCAUAUGAAUAAGGAUCGGCUAACUCCGUGCCAGCAGCCGCGGUAAUACGGAGGAUCCGAGCGUUAUCCGGAUUUAGUGGGUUUAAAGGGAGCGUAGGUAGAUUGUUAAGUCAGUUGUGAAAGUUUGCGGCACAACCGUAAAAGUGCAGUUGACACUGGCAGUCUUGAGUACGGUAGAGGUGGGCGGAAUUCGUGGUGUAGCGGUGAAAUGCGUAGAUAUCACGAAGAAAUCCGAUUGCGAAGGCAGUUCACUGGACUGCAACUGACACUGAGGCUCGAAAGUGUGGGUAUCAAACAGGAUUAGAUACCCUAGUAGUC